rnacentral:rRNA from 2 species
CUCCCCCAAGAGUUCACAUCGACGGGGAGGUUUGGCACCUCGAUGUCGGCUCAUCGCAUCCUGGGGCUGUAGUCGGUCCCAAGGGUUGGGCUGUUCGCCCAUUAAAGCGGUACGCGAGCUGGGUUCAGAACGUCGUGAGACAGUUCGGUCCCUAUCCGUCGCGGGCGUAGGAAAUUUGAGAGGAGCUGUCCUUAGUACGAGAGGACCGGGAUGGACAUACCUCUGGUGUACCAGUUGUGCCGCCAGGCGCAUCGCUGGGUAGCUACGUAUGGAAGGGAUAAACGCUGAAAGCAUCUAAGUGUGAAGCCCCCCUCGAGAUGAGAUUUCCCAUUCCUUUAUGGAAGUAAGAUCCGUUAAAGAAUAUGACGUAGAUAGGCUGCGGGUGGAAGUGUAGCGAUACAUGGAGCUGAGCAGUACUAAUAGAUCGAGGACUUAAUCGA